GACGAACCGUGCGAACGUUAUUCGGAAUCACUGGGCUUAAAGCGCGUGUAGGCGGGGCGGCACGUCGGUCGCUGAAAGCCCCCGGCUCAACCGGGGAACGGGCGCCGAUACGACCGCCCUCGAGGGACGUAGGGGGACCUGGAACUUCUGGUGGAGCGGUGAAAUGCGUUGAGAUCGGAAGGAACGCCCGUGGCGAAAGCGAGGUCCUGGACGUCUGCUGACGCUGAGACGCGAAAGCCAGGGGAGCCGAACGGG
rnacentral:rRNA from 1 species